rnacentral:lncRNA from 1 species
CGAGUGUGCUGCUGUGCGAGGGGGAUCCGCCGCGCCCUUGCUCUGUCCGUGCCGCCACCGCCGUCGCCGCCGCCGCCUCUGGUGGCCCCCACGCUCGCGCUGCUCCGGGUGCUCUCUGCCACCGCUGCCGAGGAAACUGACGGAGCAGGAGCGCGGCGGCGGGGCUCGGAGCUCGACCAGUCAGCUGAUCCGGCCCACCCCGCUAGGCACCCGAGAGAGACCCCUAGCGGCGCCGCCGGGGAGCUGCGCGCGCUCGGCCCGGCAGGGGCCCGCGCCCCGGUGCCCGCAGGUGCAGCGCCCCCGGCUCCUGCAGUCCCCCGAGCCACCCCGGCCGCCGGCCACCUGGGCUCCGCGAGCAGCAGGAGGGAGAGGCUGGGGCGAGGAGCGGGACGGUGCAGGCUCAGGGAAAGGUAGCACAGUCCUUGGAAAGGCUGCUUGCCAGAGAUGCUUAGAAGAUUACAUGGGGCUGGCCACUUCCUGCAGAAUGGAGGACCACAUCACGUGGUCAAGAAGAGUCACUCCCCAGAACAGCUGCAGGAAGCCACGGCUCUCACCAGGAGAUGCUGUGCCCUGGGGCCACUGCCAGCACUCAACACUGUUGACAAAUAUUGAGGCUGAGGGAUGUCAUGCUCCAAGACUGGCCCUGAGCUAA